GUACGUAGGGGCUAGCGUUGUCCGGAAUCAUUGGGCGUAAAGCGCGCGUAGGCGGUUACUCAAGUCGGAUGUGAAAGCCCUCGGCUUAACUGAGGAAGUGCACCCGAAACUGAGUAGCUAGAGUACUAAAGAGGGUCGCGGAAUUCCCGGUGUAGAGGUGAAAUUCGUAGAUAUCGGGAGGAACACCGGUGGCGAAGGCGGCGACCUGGGUAGAUACUGACGCUGAGGCGCGAAAGCGUGGGGAGCAAACAGG
rnacentral:rRNA from 1 species